rnacentral:lncRNA from 1 species
CAGAAACUAAGGCAAUUCUAGUGAUCAUCAAUUGUCUCUAGUACUUUCCUCUUGGCGAUAUAGUCUCUGGCAGGAAGUCUUUGCCAGCUCCUGCUUGUCCUCUCUUCAUAAACCCACAUGAACCCUCAUCAACCUCAUGGAGCUAACUCUACCUCUAAGAGCCUCUAUGCAUACUUUCAGCUUCAGGUACAGUCACUGACUAUCUAAUAUUCUCAAUAUUUUCCAUUUCAAACACUGAAAGAAGAAAUACAACUGGCAUGGCAACCUCUAUCUAAUGUCAAGUCAAUAAUCUAAUAAGUCACUAGCCAGUCGUGGAUCAAGUGCUCACCUCUGUCCAAAUAAUAGUUACAAAGUAGGCAGGGAUGGGAGGAGAACAGAAUGGCCCUGGCGGCACAGGAAAGUCUGCUCAGCAGUGGCUACGCACAGAUCUGUUUCACUGAGGAAGGACAGAGGGCCGGCAGCUUCCAUGAUUGACAUCUCUAAUGUAAUGCCUUAGUUCUUUUGUCCUCAGAUACAAAGCAAUGAGACAAAAUGCUUUUGUCUGUAAUAAAAUAUUAAGAUUACUUUCCUAGAGUGUGAGGUUAUAAAAGAUUAUAAACUAUACCCAGGUCAGCAAUUUCAGCCACAGUUAGAGCCCAGCUUUGAACUGCCUCGGCUUAUUUAGAGCUCUUGAGCUUGAGAUAUCAAUGUUCAGUCGCUUCUGCUGCCUCUUGUGCCUCCUGGAACCCAGUGCUCUGUUGCUGGUUCCUUUGUUUACCCCUGCCCUCUGUACUUCCUAAAUGCAAGGAAAAUCCUUCCUAAACUUCUCAUGCUGUUAGGGAUUGUUAGUCAUGAUCCACAAAGCUCACUCAAGGAUAAACACUGAAUUCAAGUUUUCCUGGUCGUCUAAAGAAUGUGCUUCUCGUGGUGGCUCAUGCCUGUAAUCCUAGCUCUUUGGGAGGCCAAGGCGGGAGGACCACUUGAGGUCAGGAGUUCUAAACCAGCCUGACCAACAUGAUGAAACCCUGCCUCUAGUAAAAAUACAAAAAAAUUAGCCAGGCAUGGUGGCGGACACCUGUAAUCCCAGCUACUUGGGAGGCUGAGACAGGAGAAUUGCUUGAACCCAGGAGGCAGAGGUUGCAGUGAGCCAAGAUCAUGCCACUGUCCUCCAGCCUGUGGGACAGAGUGAGAUUCAGUCUCAAAAAAAAAAAAAAAAA